CCUACGGGAGGCAGCAGUGAGGAAUAUUGGUCAAUGGGCGGAAGCCUGAACCAGCCAAGUAGCGUGCAGGAUGACGGCCCUACGGGUUGUAAACUUCUUUUAUACGGGAAUAACGCGCUUCACGUGUAGGGCUUUGCAUGUACCCUAUGAAUAAGGACCGGCUAAUUCCGUGCCCGCAGCCGCGGUAAUACGGAAGGUCCGGGCGUUAUCCGGGUUUAUUGGGUUUAAAGGGAGCGUAGGCCGGAGUUUAAGCGUGCUGUGAAAUGUUCGGGGUCAACCCGGGCCUUGCAGUGGAAACUGGCGGGCUUGAGUGCGCGGGAAGUAGGCGGAAUUCGUGGUGUAGCGGUGAAAUGCAUAGAUAUGACGAAGAACUCCGAUUGCGAAGGCAGCUUGCUGCAGCGGAACUGACGCUGAUGCUCGAAAGCGUGGGUAUCGAACAGGAUUAGAUACCCGAGUAGUC
rnacentral:rRNA from 1 species